GGCCUCCCAGUGCUUACCACAGGCUGUGUUUUUACACUGACUGUACAGAAAGAGGAGGUACAGUAAAUGCACCUCAUAUACACUUCAACCCAGGCCUUUUGUCUGGUCUGUAUUGUGAAUGGGGGGGGGACAAAA